AUUCAUCAGACGAGUCUCGAAUAGGACGAAACGAGCGUCCUAGAU
rnacentral:hammerhead_ribozyme from 1 species